rnacentral:tRNA from 1 species
AGUCCCGUGGUGAAUUUCACAUUGAAUUGCAAAUUCAAAGGAGCAGCUUCAA